rnacentral:rRNA from 1 species
UACGGAGGGAGCAAGCGUUACUCGGAAUUAUUGGGCGUAAAGGGCGCGUAGGCGAUCUGACAAGUCUGGUGUGAAAGCCCACAUGUUAACUGUGGAAGUGCAUUAGAAACUGUUGGAUUUGAGUUCAGGAGAGGAAGGCAGAAUUCCCGGUGUAGCGGUGAAAUGCGUAGAGAUCGGGAGGAAUACCAGUGGCGAAGGCGGCCUUCUGGACUGACACUGACGCUGAGGCGCGAAAGCCAGGGGAGCAAACGGGA